CAAUAGCGUAUAUUAAAGUUGUUGCAGUUAAAAAGCUCGUAGUUGGAUUUCUGGCCGAGUGUCCCUAGGCCAGCAUGACGUUUGGUCCUAGGCGCUCUUCCAUCCUUCUGUUAACGACUUUGGGCAUUCACUUGCCGGAGUCGGGCUCAGAUAUUUUACCUUGAGAAAAUUAGAGUGUUUCAGGCAGGCUAGGCCGGAAUACAUUAGCAUGGAAUAAUGGAAUAGGACUACGGUCUCUUUGUUGGUUUGAGGGACUGCAGUAAUGAUUAAUAGGGAUAGUUGGGGGCAUUAGUAUUUAUUAGCUAGAGGUGGAAUUCUCUAAUUUGAUAAAGACUAACUUAUGCGAAAGCAUUUGCCAAGGAUGUUUUCAUUAAUCAAGAACGAAAGUUAGGGGAUCAAAGAUGAUUAGAUACCAU
rnacentral:rRNA from 1 species